CGACCCCAGGAUGGGCGGGGUGACCCGCUGAGCUUAAGCAUAUCAAUAAGC
rnacentral:rRNA from 1 species